rnacentral:lncRNA from 1 species
UUUUUCAGUCAGUCAGCAUUAGAGUUUUAAACCCUAAACUGACCUUUUUCCUUUAAUCAGCAUUAGGGUUUUAAACCCUAACUGAACUUUUUUCCUUUCAGCCAGCAUUAGGGUUUUAAACCCUAAGCUGAGCUUUUCCAUGCAAUCAGCAUUAGGGUUUUAAACCCUAAACUGAACUUUCCCUUUAGUCAGCAUUAGGGUUUUAAACCCUAACUGAACUUUUUUCCAUUCAGCCAGCAUUAGGGUUUUAAACCCUAAACUAAGCUUUUUCCAUGCAAUCAGCACUAGGGUUUUAAACCCUAAACUGAACUUUUCCUCGCAAUCAGCAUUAGGGUUUUAAACCCUAAACUGAACUUUUCCUUUAGUCAGCAUUAGGGUUUUAAACCCUAACUGAACUUUUUUCCAUUCAGCCAGCAUUAGGGUUUUAAACCCUAAACUGAAUUUUUUCCACUCAGUCAGCAUUAGGGUUUUAAACCCUAAACUGAACUUUUCCUUGCAAUCAGCAUUAGGGUUUUAAACCCUAAACUGAAUUUUUCCUUUAGUCAGCAUUAGGGUUUUAAACCCUAACUGAACUUUUUUCCAUUCAGCCAGCAUUAGGGUUUUAAACCCUAAACUGAGCUUUUCCAUGCAAUCAGCAUUAGGGUUUUAAACCCUAAACUGAAUUUUUCCUUUAGUCAGCAUUAGGGUUUUAAACCCUAACUGAACUUUUUCCAUUCAACCAGCAUUAGGGUUUUAAACCCUAAACUGAGCUUUUCCAUGCAAUCAGCAUUAGGGUUUUAAACCCUAAACUGAACUUUUCCUUGCAAUCAGCAUUAGGGUUUUAAACCCUAAACUGAAUUUUUCCUUUAGUCAGCAUUAGGGUUUUAAACCCUAAACUGAAUUUUUCGUUUAGUCAGCAUUAGGGUUUUAAACCCUAAACUGAACUUUUUCCAUUUAGUCA